rnacentral:tRNA from 1 species
GCUUGGGUAGUUUAAUUAAAAUGUUGAUUUGUGGGGUCAGCGAUGUAUUUUUGUACCUUAGGCU